rnacentral:rRNA from 1 species
UACGUAGGGGGCAAGCGUUAUCCGGAUUUACUGGGUGUAAAGGGAGCGUAGACGGCGAUGCAAGUCUGAAGUGAAAGGCGGGGCCCAACCCCCGGACUGCUUUGGAAACUGUAUGGCUGGAGUGCAGGAGAGGUAAGUGGAAUUCCUAGUGUAGCGGUGAAAUGCGUAGAUAUUAGGAGGAACACCAGUGGCGAAGGCGGCUUACUGGACUGUAACUGACGUUGAGGCUCGAAAGCGUGGGGAGCAAACAGG